rnacentral:lncRNA from 1 species
CUGGCAGGUGCUGCAGCUAAAGUGGUCGUAGUAGGGGCUGCAGUUGUAGUUGUAGCAGGUGCUGCAGAUGUAGUUGUCGUAGUAGGUGCUGCAAUUGUAGUGGUCGUAGGAGCUACAGUUGUCGAAGGAGCUUCAGUUGUUCUUGCAGGUGCUGCAGUUGAAGUGGUCGUAGUAGGUGCUGCAGUUGUAGUUGUUGUAGUAUGUGCUGCAGUCGUAGUGGUUGUAAGAGCUACAGUUGUUGUAGUAGGAGCUGAAGUGAUUGUCGAAGUAGCUGCUGACGUUGUCGUGGUUGGGGAUAUAUUUGUUGUCGUAGAAGCUACAGUUGUUGUUGUAGGUGCUGCUGUUGUGGUUGUCGUAGGAGCUUCAGUUGUCGUUGUAGGUGCUUCCGUUGUGGUCGUAGGAUCUAAAAUUGUUGUAGUAGGAACUGCAGUUGUGGUUGUCGUAGAAACUGCAUUUGUAGUUGUCGUAGCAGCUGCAUUAGUUGUUGUCGUAGUAGGUGCUUCAGUUGUAGAAGUCGCAGGAGCUACAGAUGUUGUCGAAGGAGCUACAGUUGUUCUUGCAUGUGCUGCAGUUGCAGUGGUUGUAGUAGGUGAUGCAUUUGUAGUUGUCGUAGCAGGUGCUGCAAGUGUAGUUGUCGUAGCAGGUGCUGCAGGUGUAGUUGUCGUAGUAGGUGCUGCUGGUGUAGUGGUUGUAGGAGCUGCAGUGGUUGUUGAAGUAGGUGUUGCAGUUGUAGUGGUCAUAGGAGCUACAGUUGUUGUUGUAGGAGCUUCAAUUGUAGUUGUAGCAGGUGCUGCAGUGGUUGUCGAAGUAGGUGCUGCAGGUGUAGGAGCUACGGUUGUCGUUGUUGGUGCUGCAGUUGUGGUUGUUGUAGGAGCUGCAUUUGUAGUUGUCGUCGUAGGUGCUGCAGUUGUAGGUGUUGUAGUUGUCGUAGUAGGUUCUUUUGUUGUGGUUGUCGUUGGAGCUUCAGUUGUAAUGGUCGUAAUAGGUGCUGCACUUGUAGUUGUCGUAGUAGGUUCUUUAGUUGUGGUUGACGUAGGAGCUUCAGAUGUAAUUGUCGUAAUAGGUGCUGCACUUGUGGUUAUCGGAGUAGCUUCAGUUGCAGUUGUAUGUGCUGUAGUCGUAGUGGUUGUAAGAGCUACAGUUGUUGUAGUAGGAGCUGAAGUGAUUGUCGAAGUAGCUGCUGACGUUGUAGUGGUUGGGGAUAUAUUUGUUGUCGUAGAAGCUACAGUUGUUGUUGUAGGUGCUGCUGUUGUGGUUGUCGUAGGAGCUUCAGUUGUCGUUGUAGGUGCUUCUGUUGUAGUGGUCGUAUGAUCUAAAGGUGUUGUAAUAGGAUCUGCAGUUGUGGUUGUCAUAGGAGCUGUAUUUGUAGUAGUCAUAGGAGCUACAGUUGUUGUUGAAAUAGCUACAGUUGUUGAAGCUGCAGUGGUUGUCGAAAUAGGUGCUGCAGUUGUAGUGGUCGUAAGAGCUACAGUUGUAGUGGUAAUAGGAUAUAUAGUUGUUGUAGAAGCUACAGUUGUUGUUAUAGGUGCUGCUGUUGUAAUCGUCGUAGUAGGUGUUGUGGUUGUCCAUGGAGCUUCAGUUGUCAUUGUAGGUGCUUCUGUUGUGGUCAUAGGAUAUACAGUUGUUGUAAUAGGAGUUGCAGUUGUCGUCGUAGGAGCUGCAUUUGUAGUUGUCGUAGUAGGUGCUUCAGUUAUAGAAGAAGUAGGAGCUUCAGUUGUUGUAGUAGUAGCUGCAGUGGUUGUCGAAGUAGGUGCUGAAGUU